UGUUUUGAGCAGUGGCAGUAUCGUAGCCAAUGAGGUUUAUCCGAGGCGCGAUUAUUGCUAAUUGAAAACUUUUCCCUGGUGUUUUGAAAAGCCAUAAAUUAGGUGGCUAGGAGGUAACAUCAGUUUUAAAAGAGAUUAAAUUU